AAGAGAUAAAAGUAGCAGCAUAUCUUACAUGCAAUUUUUAACUUUACUUUUAAAGUUAACAUUAUAUCAUGAACAUAUUUCCAUGUCAUUAAAUAUUCUAGUACAUAAAAAUAUUUAAAAGCUAACAGAGCCUAUUAAAUGUAUAUACUAUAAUUUAUUCAACCAAAUUUUUUCCUAUUUCUGAAUAUUUAUGGUGUUUGCGACAUUUCCAACUAUUGACAAUCAACUAAUGAACAUGUAUGAUUAACCUUUGGUAUACCUCAGUUAUAUUUUUUGUGUUUUUUGUCUUUUUGAGGCCGCAUAAAUGGCAUGGGGAGGUUCCCAGGCUAGGGAUCUAACGGGAGCUGUUGCCGCAGUCUACGCCAGAGCCACAGCAACGCCAGAUUCAAGUCACGUCUGUGACUUACCCACAGCCAGCAAUGCUGGAUCCUUAACCCAUUGAGCAAGGCCAGGGACUGAACCUGCAACCUCAUGGUUCUUAGUCGGAUUCGUUUCCGCUGCACCACAACAGGAACUCCAUACCUCAGUUAUUUUUAUUUAUUAGUAAAUGAAAUUAUUGGUUCAAUCAUAUGUACAUUUAAGUGUCGUCCAGAAGACUUACUAGUUACACUUAUAAGAAAGCAAUGGAUGAAUGUGCUUGCUUCCCUGCACCCUCACCAACUUAGAUAUGAUUUUUACUUCUGGUGCUGCAAACAGGCAAAAAUGGUACCUCAUUGCUUUGAUUUUUUUAAUCUUUUACUAUUAAAUUUUUUAUUUUAUUGCUGUACACUUCUUUUUGUGAAUUAUCUUUUUAUAGCUUACCUAUUUUUCUAUUGGCAUGUUCACCUUUUUCUAGAUUUAUAAAAUUCCUCUAUAAUUUAGGAAUGUUAUAAUUCUUUGCAUUUUAUAUAUAUAUACAUAUAUAUAUCUCAAAUAUUUUCUUUUAGUGCACUUUAUCAUGUUUUGUAUUUGUUUCUACUGUUUUUGAUAUAUAGAAAUAUAAUAUUUUAAUGUAUUUAUCAUACUCAUAAUCUUUUAUGGUUUCAUCCUUUUAUCUAAUGUUAGGGUGUCUUUCUCUAGCCCUCCCCUCCUCUCUCAAUUUUAUAAAUAUGGAUUAUAAUUUAAAAACCAGAACAUUUGUAAUAAAACAUUUUAAAACCAGAACAUUUAAAUAUAAGCACCUAUAUUAGAGAAGGUAUGUCAGCUAUUCAGAUGUAGUCCCAUUCCACUAAGUUGUUGUGUAUUAUUAUAUAACUAACAUUUAUGACAUGUGUGAAGCAUGAAGUUGUUUAUUGACAAUGAAGAAUAAAAGUUGUCUGAAGCCAUGUAGUUAUUCGUGUAGGAAAUAUUUCUGUAUUGUGUGAGUGAGCCAAAGUGUAAAUAUGUAAAAUCUUGAUUUUGUUAAUAUGCAUUCAUUUAGAAAACUCAAAAUGCAUUCAUUUAGAAACUCAAAUAAUAAAGCCAAUAGAAAGAUAAUCCUUUUUUUAUGAGUUAGAGUUGAUGUACAGUAUUAUAUCAGUUACUUAUAGGUGUACAAUAUGGUGACUCCAAUUUAAAAGUUCAUACUUCAUUUAUAAUUAUUAUAAAAUACUGGCUAUAUUUUCUGUGUUGUACACUAUAUAUUUGUAGCUUAUUUCAUACAUUAUAAAUUUUUACUUCUUAAUGCUCUAUGUCUAUAUUGCCCCUCCCCCUUCCCUCUCACCACUGGUAAUCAGUAGUUUGUUCUCUAUAUCUGUAAGUCUGCUUCUUUUUUGUUGUAUUUACUACUCUGUUGUAUUUUUUAGAUUCCAUAUAUAAGUGAUAUCAUAAGUAUUAGUAUUUCUCUGUCUGACUUACUUCACUUAGCAUAAUACUCUCCAGGUCCAUUCGUGUUGUUGAAAAUGGCAAAAUGUCAUUCUUUUUCAUGGCUUAGUAGUAUUCCAUUAUAUACUUACAAUUGCUAAGAUAAUGGAAGCAACUUAAAUGUUCAUCAACAGAUAAAUGGAUAAAGAGGACGUGGGGUGUGUGUGUUUUAUCAUAUACAAUACAAUAUAUAAUAUGUAUAAUAUAUAUAAUGUAUUUCUUUAUCCAUUCAUCUGUUAAUGGUUAUUUAGGUUGCUUCCAUAUCUUGACAAUUGUAAAUAAUGUUGCUGUGAGCAUUGGGGUGUGUGUAUUGUUUCAAAUUAGCGUUUCUUUUUUUUUUCUUUUUUUGGCUUUAUACCCAGGAGUGGAAUUUCUGGGUCAUAUGAUAGUUCUGUUUUUAGUUUUUUUGAUAAAUCUCCAUACCAUUUUCCACAGUGGCUGUACCAAUUUACAUUCCCAUCAACAAUGUACAAGGGUUCCCUUUUCUCCAUAUCCUCAUCAGCAUUUAUUAUUUUUGUUCUUUUUUGAUGAUAACUGUUGUGACAGGUAUAAAGUGAUAUCUCAUUGUGGUUUUAAUUUGCUUUUCUCUGAUAAUUAAUGAUGUUGGGCAUCUUUUCAUGUUCCUGUUGGUCCCCUGUAUGUCAUCUUUGGAAAAAUGUUUUUUUCUGUCUUUUGCCCAUUUUUAAAUUGGGUGUUUGUUUUUUUGAUGUUGAGUGGUAUGAGCUAUUUAUAUAUUUUGGAUAUUAACCUCUAUCAGGCACAUCAUCUGCAAAUAUUUCCUCUCAUUCAGUGGAUGGUCUUUUUUUUUUUUUUUUUUUUUUUUUUGGUGGUUUCUUUUGUUACACAAAAGCUUUUCUUUAAAGUUACUUCACUGAUUCUGCUUGAAUUAGGAGCAUUACUUUGGCCAAGAUCUUACAUCCUGCCAUGGUCAAAGCCAUAUCUCCACACUGCAUACUAGAUUUGAAUUUGCUGGGUAAACACAAAUACCAGACUGAGUUACUAAAUAAGCAGACUCAGUCCUUGCUUGAGCGCCCAGUAAAGAGCAAGACUCUGUAAGCUACAUGAAAGGAAUUUUAGGGUGAGAGAAAUUAGAAGAUUCCCUUUGCAAAAUUUUGUUUGGAAGCUGUAAUUUUCUGUGUCAGCUUGACUAGAGUGUGUAGAUAUUUAGUCAGACAUUUUUCAGGGUGUUACCACAAGGAUGGUCUUAGAUGGGAUUAACAUUUAAAUUGGUAGACUGAGUAAAGCAGAUUGCCCUGUCUAAUGUGGUGGGCCUCAUCCAAUCAACUGAAGGACUGAAUAAAAAAAAAGGCUGAUCCUUUCCUGAGUAAGAGAGAAUUCCCCCUGCCUGACUUCCUUUGAACUGGAACAUUGGUUUUGUCCUGCCUUUGAUCUCAAACUGAAACAUCAGCUUUUCCUGGAUCUCAAGCCUACCAGCUUUUGGACUGACUGUAACUACACCAAUGGCUCUCCCAGGUCUCCAGCUUGUUGCCUUAGCCUGCAGACCUUAAGACUUGUUAGCCUCCUUCUCUCUGUCUCUCUCUCUCUAUAUAUAUAUAUGUAUACUUAUAUAUUCAUAUAUAUGUAUAUUUCAUAUGUAUAUUUCCUAUUGGUCCUAUUUCUCUGGAGAACCCUGACUGCUAUAGAAGCUCUGAAUGUAAACCUAGCCAAGGCCAAAAUAAAUUGUUU
rnacentral:lncRNA from 1 species